GCUGUCAGAACGUGACGCGGAGGAGGCGUGGUUUUGACCAUAUAUGGAGCUGUUACGGUUCCUGUCAGGCAGCGGCGCUCCACUCGUACGGGUCCAGCCCUGUAGUGCAGCAGCAUGAGAACACUCACGCGCUCCACUUUUCCUCUUGCUUAGGCCCCCUAUACGUGGAGCCAUCUGGACGCGGAGAGAGGGGAGUCAGCUGCUGCUGCUGCUGCUGAGGCGCUGAGCCUGAAUCCGUCUCAGCUCAUUCUGUGGGAUCAUCUGCGUGGUGGGCUUUACACCGUGGAAAAUGCGCUCUCCAUCAUUAGGUGAAAAUGUUAGCGUCAAAAUAAAAAAGAAAUGCUGA